UACAGAGGUCUCAACCGUUGUUCGGAUUCAUUGGGCGUAAAGGGUGCGUAGGCGGUCGCGUAAGUCGGAUGUGAAAUCUCAGGGCUCAACCCUGAAACUGCAUUCGAUACUGCGUGGCUAGGGUACUGGAGAGGAGACUGGAAUUUACGGUGUAGCAGUGAAAUGCGUAGAUAUCGGGAGGAAUACCGAUGGCGAAGGCAGGUCUCUGGGCUGACACUGACGCUCAUGCACGAAAGCGUGGGGAGCAAACAGG
rnacentral:rRNA from 1 species